AAUGGGCGCAAGCCUGAUCCAGCCAUGCCGCGUGCAGGAUGAAGGCCUUCGGGUUGUAAACUGCUUUUGUACGGAACGAAAAGCCCUGGGUUAAUACCCUGGGGUCAUGACGGUACCGUAAGAAUAAGCACCGGCUAACUACGUGCCAGCAGCCGCGGUAAUACGUAGGGUGCAAGCGUUAAUCGGAAUUACUGGGCGUAAAGCGUGCGCAGGCGGUUUUGUAAGACAGUGGUGAAAUCCCCGGGCUCAACCUGGGAACUGCCAUUGUGACUGCAAGGCUAGAGUGCGGCAGAGGGGGAUGGAAUUCCGCGUGUAGCAGUGAAAUGCGUAGAUAUGCGGAGGAACACCGAUGGCGAAGGCAAUCCCCUGGGCCUGCACUGACGCUCAUGCACGAAAGCGUGGGGAGCAAACAGGAUUAGAUACCCUGGUAGUCCACGCCCUAAACGAUGUCAACUGGUUGUUGGGUCUUAACUGACUCAGUAACGAAGCUAACGCGUGAAGUUGACCGCCUGGGGAGUACGGC
rnacentral:rRNA from 1 species